rnacentral:rRNA from 1 species
CAGUCGAGCGAGCUUGCCUAGAUGAAUUUGGUGCUUGCACCAGAUGAAACUAGAUACAAGCGAGCGGCGGACGGGUGAGUAACACGUGGGUAACCUGCCCAAGAGACUGGGAUAACACCUGGAAACAGAUGCUAAUACCGGAUAACAACACUAGACGCAUGUCUAGAGUUUAAAAGAUGGUUCUGCUAUCACUCUUGGAUGGACCUGCGGUGCAUUAGCUAGUUGGUAAGGUAACGGCUUACCAAGGCAAUGAUGCAUGGCCGAGUUGAGAGACUGAUCGGCCACAUUGGGACUGAGACACGGCUCAAACUCCUACGGGAGGCAGCAGUAGGGAAUCUUCCACAAUGGACGCAAGUCUGAUGGAGCAACGCCGCGUGAGUGAAGAAGGGUUUCGGCUCGUAAAGCUCUGUUGGUAGUGAAGAAAGAUAGAGGUAGUAACUGGCCUUUAUUUGACGGUAAUUACUUAGAAAGUCACGGCUAACUACGUGCCAGCAGCCGCGGUAAUACGUAGGUGGCAAGCGUUGUCCGGAUUUAUUGGGCGUAAAGCGAGUGCAGGCGGUUCAAUAAGUCUGAUGUGAAAGCCUUCGGCUCAACCGGAGAAUUGCAUCAGAAACUGUUGAACUUGAGUGCAGAAGAGGAGAGUGGAACUCCAUGUGUAGCGGUGGAAUGC